rnacentral:rRNA from 1 species
UACAUGGGGUGCAAACGUUGCUCGGAAUUAUUGGGCGUAAAGCGCGCGUAGGCGGUUACUUAAGUCGGAUGUGAAAGCCCUCGGCUUAACUGAGGAAGUGCACCCGAAACUGAGUAGCUAGAGUACGAAAGAGGGUCGCGGAAUUCCAGGUGUAGCGGUGAAAUGCGUAGAUAUCUGGAGGAACACCGGUGGCGAAGGCGGCAUCCUGGACCAACACUGACGCUGAGGAGCGAAAGCCAGGGGAGCAAACGGG